AUUCCAAAUUCGGGAACCACCAGAAAGGCUGGCCUCUCUUCAACAUGGGAUCUUCUGGACUUUUGAGCCUCCUGGUGCUAUUCGUCCUCUUAGCGAAUGUCCAGGGACCUGGUCUGACUGAUUGGUUAUUUCCCGGAGAUGUCCCAAAAUCAGAGAAGAAUGUGAAUUCCAAGAAAGGGAUGUGUGUACAAAGGACAGACAAUGCCAGGACAACAAGA
rnacentral:lncRNA from 1 species